GGUUGGCAGCCCGUCCGGGCUGUUCAAGAUUUGAGCUUGUUGGGUGGAGAGCU
rnacentral:ncRNA from 12 species